rfam:Taeniopygia guttata chromosome 1A, whole genome shotgun sequence.
CUACAGGUUUUUUUUAAAACCACAUCAUAUAGGAAAUUAUUUUGUA